UACGUAGGGUGCAAGCGUUAAUCGGAAUUACUGGGCGUAAAGCGUGCGCAGGCGGUUGUGCAAGACCGAUGUGAAAUCCCCGGGCUUAACCUGGGAAUGGCAUUGGUGACUGCACGGCUAGAGUGUGUCAGAGGGGGGUAGAAUUCCACGUGUAGCAGUGAAAUGCGUAGAGAUGUGGAGGAAUACCAAUGGCGAAGGCAGCCCCCUGGGAUAACACUGACGCUCAUGCACGAAAGCGUGGGGAGCAAACAGG
rnacentral:rRNA from 1 species